UACGUAGGGUGCGAGCGUUGUCCGGAAUUAUUGGGCGUAAAGAGCUCGUAGGCGGUUUGUUGCGUCGGCCGUGAAAACCUGCAGCUUAACUGUGGGCCUGCGGCCGAUACGGGCAGACUUGAGUUCGGUAGGGGAGACUGGAAUUCCUGGUGUAGCGGUGGAAUGCGUAGAGAUCGGGAGGAACACCCGUGGCGAAGGCGGCUCUCUGGGACGGUACUGACGCUGAGACGCGAAAGCGUGGGGAGCGAACAGG
rnacentral:rRNA from 1 species